AUACGUAGGGGGCGAGCGUUGUCCGGAAUUAUUGGGCGUAAAGCGCGCGCAGGCGGUUCUUUAAGUCUUGUGUUUAAUCCCGGGGCUCAACCUCGGUACGCAUGGGAAACUGGAGGACUGGAGUGCAGGAGAGGGAAGCGGAAUUCCACGUGUAGCGGUGAAAUGCGUAGAGAUGUGGAGGAACACCAGUGGCGAAGGCGGCUUCCUGGCCUGUAACUGACGCUGAGGCGCGAAAGCGUGGGGAGCAAACAGGAUUAGAUACCCUGGUAGUCCACGCCGUAAACGAUGGGUGCUAGGUGUCGGGGGUGUCAUGCCCUCGGUGCCGAAGUUAACACAGUAAGCACUCCGCCUGGGGAGUACGGUCGCAAGACUGAA
rnacentral:rRNA from 1 species